rnacentral:rRNA from 1 species
UGGGGUAUAUUGCACAAUGGACGGAAGUCUGAUGCAGCGACGCCGCGUGGGGGAUGAAGGCUUUCGGGUUGUAAACUCCUUUCAGUACAGAAGAAGCUUUAUUGUUACGGUAUGUGCAGAAGAAGCGCCGGCUAACUACGUGCCAGCAGCUGCGGUAAUACGUAGGGCGCGAGCGUUGUCCGGAAUUAUUGGGCGUAAAGAGCUCGUAGGCGGUUUGUCGCGUCUGCUGUGAAAGAUCGGGGCUUAACUCCGGGGCUGCAGUGGGUACGGGCAGGCUGGUGUGCAGUAGGGGUAACCGGAAUUCCUGGUGUAGCGGUGGAAUGCGCAGAUAUCAGGAGGAACACCGAUGGCGAAGGCAGGGUACUGGGCCGUUACUGACGCUGAGGAGCGAAAGCAUGGGGAGCGAACAGG